rnacentral:rRNA from 1 species
GGAGGGAGCAAGCGUUGUUCGGAAUUACUGGGGGGCGUAAAGGGGCGCGUAGGGCGGGUUACGUAAGUCGAGUGUGAAAUUCCGGGGCUCAACCCCGUGAACUGCACCCGAUACUGCGUGACUAGAGAAAGGUAGGGGCAAGUGGAAUUCCCGGUGUAGCGGUGGAAUGCGUAGAUAUCGGGAAGAACACCCGUGGCGAAGGCGGCUUGCUGGACCUUUUCUGACGCUGAAGCGCGAAAGCGUGGGGAGCAAACAGGAUUAGAUACCCUGGUAGUCCACGCCGUAAACGCUGGGUACUAGGUGUUGGGAGGAUUGACCCUUUCAGUGCCGACGCUAACGCAUUAAGUACCCCGCCUGGGGAGUACGGUCGCAAGGCUG